rnacentral:rRNA from 1 species
GUGCCAGCCGCCGCGGUAAUACAGAGGCCCCAAGCGUUACUGAGAAUCACUGGGUUUAAAGGGUGCGUAGGUGGUCCGUUAAGUCUGUUGUGAAAGCCCUUGGCUCAACCAAGGAAUUGCUUCGGAUACUGGCGGACUUGAGGCUAGUAGAGGUCACUGGAACUGACGGUGGAGCGGUGAAAUGCGUAGAUAUCGUCAGGAACGCCGGUGGUGAAGACGGGUGACUGGGCUAGUUCUGACACUGAGGCACGAAAGCGUGGGGAGCGAACGGGAUUAGAAACCCGCGUAGUCC